UUACGGCCACAUCACGUUGAAACACCGGUUCCUGUACGAUCACUGAAGUUAAGCAACGCCGAGCUUGGUCACUAUCUAUUUGAGUGACCGCUUGGGAAUAAUAGGUACUGUAU